rnacentral:rRNA from 1 species
UCGCAAGACCUUGCGCUUUUGGAGCGGCCGAUGUCUGAUUAGCUAGUUGGUGAGGUAAAGGCUUACCAAGGCUUCGAUCAGUAGUUGGUCUGAGAGGACGACCAGCCACACUGGGACUGAGACACGGCCCAGACUCCUACGGGAGGCAGCAGUGGGGAAUUUUGGACAAUGGGGGCAACCCUGAUCCAGCCAUGCCGCGUGAGUGAAGAAGGCCUUCGGGUUGUAAAGCUCUUUCAGCCGAAACGAAACGGUCGCGGUUAAUAACUGUGAUCAAUGACGGUAUCGGCAGAAGAAGCACCGGCUAACUACGUGCCAGCAGCCGCGGUAAUACGUAGGGUGCGAGCGUUAAUCGGAAUUACUGGGCGUAAAGCGUGCGCAGGCGGUUCUGUAAGUCAGAUGUGAAAUCCCCGGGCUUAACCUGGGAACU